CCUACGGGAGGCAGCAGUGGGGAAUAUUGGGCAAUGGAGGAAACUCUGACCCAGCGAUGCCGCGUGCGGGAUGAAGGCCUUCGGGUUGUAAACCGCUUUCAGCAGGGAAGAAGCGAAAGUGACGGUACCUGCAGAAGAAGCACCGGCUAACUAUGUGCCAGCAGCCGCGGUAAUACAUAGGGUGCAAGCGUUGUCCGGAAUUAUUGGGCGUAAAGAGCUCGUAGGUGGUUCGUCACGUCGGAUGUGAAAAUCUGGGGCUUAACCCCAGACCUGCAUUCGAUACGGGCGAGCUUGAGUAUGGUAGGGGAGUCUGGAAUUCCUGGUGUAGCGGUGGAAUGCGCAGAUAUCAGGAGGAACACCAAUGGCGAAGGCAGGACUCUGGGCCAUUACUGACACUGAGGAGCGAAAGCGUGGGGAGCGAACAGGAUUAGAUACCCUGGUAGUCCACGCCGUAAACGGUGGGCACUAGUUGUGGGGACCGUUCCACGGUCUCUGCGACGCAGCUAACGCAUUAAGUGCCCCGCCUGGGGAGUCGAUCGCAAGAUAAACUUAAGGAAUUGACGG
rnacentral:rRNA from 1 species